GCUAUACAUGCAGUCGAGCGAAUGACGAAGAAGCUUGCUUCUUCUGAUUUAGCGGCGGACGGGUGAGUAACACGUGGGCAACCUGCCCUGUAGAUUGGGAUAACUCCGGGAAACCGGGGCUAAUACCGAAUAAUCCAUUUCCUCACAUGGGGAGAUGUUAAAAGACGGCAUCUCGCUGUCACUACAGGAUGGGCCCGCGGCGCAUUAGCUAGUUGGUGAGGUAACGGCUCACCAAGGCGACGAUGCGUAGCCGACCUGAGAGGGUGAUCGGCCACACUGGGACUGAGACACGGCCCAGACUCCUACGGGAGGCAGCAGUAGGGAAUCUUCCACAAUGGACGAAAGUCUGAUGGAGCAAUGCCGCGUGAGUGAAGAAGGUUUUCGGAUCGUAAAACUCUGUUGUGAGGGAAGAACAAGUACGAGAGUAACUGCUCGUACCUUGACGGUACCUCAUUAGAAAGCCACGGCUAACUACGUGCCAGCAGCCGCGGUAAUACGUAGGUGGCAAGCGUUGUCCGGAAUUAUUGGGCGUAAGCGCGCGCAGGCGGUCCUUUAAGUCUGAUGUGAAAUCCCACGGCUCACCG
rnacentral:rRNA from 1 species